AUUUCCUUGUGAGGGUACUGGGAAGGAUGAAAUGCAUAAAAGCAUCAGACACAAAUCAGUAAAAAUAAAAAUUCAAAUAUUCAGAUUGAUCUUCAUAAUUCUGCCUCCAUAGAAGACAAAACACCUACAAGAAUCAGCACCACUUUUCUAGUUCACAAUUGCACCUUGAAGAACUAUUAAACAAAAAACUAUAGGUCAUUUUAACUAGACAAGGGAAAACCCAAUUUUUCCUGGCAGGACAAAAGGUAACAUUCUU
rnacentral:misc_RNA from 1 species